AGUUUCCUGUACCUUUACCCAUCCUCCUGCAGUAUCCAUGCUCCUGCACCUAUCAUCACAAGAUACAGGACCUACAGGAGCUGAUGAGGAGUUUCACUGGGCCAUAUUGUCACGUAACCCCAAAGGUGACUUGGGCAGAGAGGCAGGCCUUGUGUGCACAAAAGUGGGGGGAAAGAGAGAGGCAAUGGUGGACAGCAUGUUCUCUGCUGAAGGUACUGUGUUGGGCCGGUGUCAGUAUUGCAACAGUGAGGAUGCUGUUGUGCAGUGCAGAGAUUGACUGCCGAGGCAUCUUCUCUGUGCCGCAUGUGACAUAGCCACUCAUAGCACCAAGGUUUUGCACAACAGGGAGACUCUGUUUGAAGGGUUUUAUCACCCCUUAUCCCCAACCACCGUAAUUCAUCAGGAUGAUGACGGGUCCCUUACCUUCCAGGAGCAAGUUUGUCUUUUGCCCAUGGCUGUGUCACAGCUGUGUGGUUGGUCCCCCAGCGCCCCGACAGUGACAAGGAGGUCAUCCUGAUUGGAAAAAAUGGGUGCUACAACCUGUCCCUUCCUGAUCUGAACUGCUCCAGAUGUCUGAGACAUUGGAGAGUGGGGCUGGACGAACUUGUAAAGAGUGUCUACUGGCCAGCCACCGUGACUCACCAGACGAUCUACAAAGUGUACCUAUUCAAGUCAGUGGCCCCAGGAUGCUCCCGUCAAGCCUUUGUGGGAAUUUUUGAUGGAACAACAAAGCACUUUGGCAGGGUAAGUGUGUAUAUACUAAUCAAAUGAUAAUUUUAAUUAAUUAGUGGUUAAUAUUUGUCCCAAAUAUAAAAAUUGCCCCUUACUUAUACCUCUGUAUGUUUUGCAUGUUAAUAGAGUGGAAAGAUAUGUGGCUACACAUUCUAGAAAGCACUUACUGGCGGUUUGAAAUAGACAAGCUUUGCGGAAGCGAUCUCCUCCAUUGUCCUGCCUGCUCACAGGAGAUGCAUGCUAUAUCAGUAGAUGGGAAUCGGAAGCAAUACCGCUUCUGGAAAGCUUCUUGUUUUAUACUACCUUCUUAUGUGUUUGAUGUUUUGUUCAGAGUAUAAUUAUACCUUCUUAAAGUGCAUGCUGGUCUUUUUGUU